AGGGAGAAAGUUUUACGAGAAAGGGCUGCCUACGCGGGCGCCCUUGUGCUGUGCACACGUCCCAUCCGUGCGUUCGGCAGGGGGUCAACCUUAUGCGUAUCUCGUUGCGUGCGAAUAGACACCGCACACUAUGCCUGCGUCGUCCGCUCAGCAGGUUUACGUGGAUAGGCCUCUUCGUGCCUAGGGCUGGUGCGCAGGCUAGCUUGCAGCAAGCAGA
rnacentral:lncRNA from 1 species